UAAGGCCCGUUCCAUCCAUUUCCUUUUAAAUGGUAACCACGCCUGGGUGCAACAUAGUGAUGAACUCCCUCCUCUUGCCCUUUAAUGUCUUUCCUGUCUGUGGAACUAAUCUAACUGUGCUAGUCAUAACACUACACAAUUAGCUUAGUAACAGUCAUCAAAAUGUACCAUGUACAUUAAUGAUGAGUGCUGUUGAUCGGCAUAGAUUUCUAGGAGCAUGGUUUGUUAUUGAUUAAUUAUAAAGAUUCAAUAUCUGAGUGUAAAGGACACUCCAUUUAAGUGAUGGUGUUAUCCAUAAUAGCAUCCCAGUCAUGAUCGUUAUGCUACUAACUAUUCUACUUAAUAAAAUUCAAUGAAGAAUUACCUUUAGAGAUCAUCCCCCACUCCUGAACUUGGACAGGGCCUCUCAUGCAUGCCUUUUCAAAGUCCUGUGGUGGGCCCGAUGUCAUUGACCUCUACUUUUUAUCCCAUCUUUCAUAGAAUUCACUUUUGAUUUUUUAAAAUUACCUUACAUGCAGUGGUUAAUGGAGAUAACUGUGUAUAUGAAUGUUUUUUUAAAAAUUGUCUAUGAUAGCUUACUCUAUUUAGGAGAGUUCCAGUACUCAUUUUACUAAGAUUUAAUUGAUUUGUUAAUUGAAUUUUGAAUCCCUCCCACUACAAGCAAGUCAGCUCCAAAGAGCGCUUACUGUACAUCUGGGACAUUUCUGUCAUAUGCUUCUCUUUGUUCAUCUGUCGCCAGAGGUUCUUGCUCAGUAAUGAUGUUUUGAGAGAAUUAGUAAUAUUGUUGGUCUGGAUUUGUUAGAAAAGGAGAAGUAUAACCUUUACAUUUGAAAGAAACUAUAUUUGUGUGCAAUAUCCCCUCUUCCAUUGAGGAUAUUUGAUGUAAAAGAAACAAACUCAGUUCCACAAUAAAAUACAAAAGUG
rnacentral:lncRNA from 7 species